AGAGUUUGAUCAUGGCUCAGAUUGAACGCUGGCGGAAUGCUUUACACAUGCAAGUCGAACGGGCUUAAGGGGCUUGCUCCUUAAGUUAGUGGCGAACGGGUGAGUAAUAUAUCGGAACGUAUCCAAUAGUGGGGGAUAACGAGUCGAAAGAUUCGCUAAUACCGCAUACGCCCUGAGGGGGAAAGUGGGGGACCGCAAGGCCUCACGCUAAUGGAGCGGUCGAUAUCUGAUUAGCUAGUUGGUGAGGUAAAGGCUCACCAAGGCGACGAUCAGUAGCUGGUCUGAGAGGACGACCAGCCACACUGGAACUGAGACACGGUCCAGACUCCUACGGGAGGCAGCAGUGGGGAAUUUUGGACAAUGGGCGAAAGCCUGAUCCAGCCAUUCCGCGUGAGUGAAGAAGGCCUUCGGGUUGUAAAGCUCUUUCGCAAGGGAAGAAAGAUUACUUUUUAAUAAAGAGUGAUUAUGACGGUACCUUGAUAAGAAGCACCGGCUAACUACGUGCCAGCAGCCGCGGUAAUACGUAGGGUGCGAGCGUUAAUCGGAAUUACUGGGCGUAAAGCGAGCGCAGGCGGUUCUGCAGGUCAGAUGUGAAAUCCCCGGGCUCAACCUGGGAACUGCGUUUGAAACUACAGAGCUAGAGUAUAGGAGAGGGAGGUAGAAUUCCACGUGUAGCAGUGAAAUGCGUAGAGAUGUGGAG
rnacentral:rRNA from 1 species